UACGUAGGUGGCAAGCGUUGUUCGGAAUUAUUGGGCGUAAAGGGCGCGUAGGCGGCUUGUUAAGUCAGCUGUGAAAGCCCGGGGCUCAACCCCGGAGGGUCAGCUGAUACUGGCAGGCUAGAGUACGGAAGAGGUAGCUGGAAUUCCCGGUGUAGCGGUGAAAUGCGUAGAUAUCGUGAGGAACACCAGAGGCGAAGGCGGCUACCUGGACAAUUGCUGACGCUCAGGCACGAAAGCGUGGGGAGCAAAAGGG
rnacentral:rRNA from 1 species